rnacentral:lncRNA from 1 species
AGUACGCCAUUCAUCAAUAUAUAUUGAUUGGUCAAGCGAUAGAUUAGGAAUUUCACGCUUUUGAAGAGCUUUCAGAAUUUCUUGAGUCUCUCCGAGAAGGUGAGUUGUUUCCUUUAUAAUUUUUUCCCGUUCUUCUAUGGCGCUAUUGUUGCAUUUCUUGAGUAUAGCAUGAGGUAAAUUGGUCAGGCAUGCAGCAAAUAUAUCUGCAACAAUAACUGAAAAUCUCUCAAAUACUUGAGUAUCUGAUGCUGAAUGAUAGCUUUCCUCAUGGACCAAUAGCAAACUGUUGCUUAUUUUGUACAUUGAAUUGGCAAUUAUGAUAUUUUCAGGCAAGUCAACUGAGCUUUCCAUAGCAUUUCCAUUCAUACUACUAGUAAAUUUCUUCAAAAUUUCUUCACUUCUAUUUGCAAGAUUUUGAAGAGUUUCUUUAGAGGAUUUGGAUACCCUGGCAAUUUUUUGGAGAUCCAUGUCUAACCACUUGCGCCUCAAUUCAACUAAAACCCAUGCAAAAUCUGCAGCUCUCGUGCUGCUCACCAAUUUUUUAUGAACAUCCAGACUUUUCUCCGUUAGGCGCACAUACUUAAAACCUUCAAUGACACCUCUCAACAACUGAUUCCUCUUCUCAUUUUGAACAUUGGGAAGAGCAAUCAUGAUGCUAGUUAGCGUUGUCACAGCUAGACUCCAGCAAUUAAGAGGUUCUGCGCAAAUAAUUGGAGAGACUUGAACACUUUCAAAUUUUGAUACACCCUCGAAGCUGGUGGAAUUGUCCAUAAGCUUCAUUAGAUAUCUAGGCUGAUUAUUUGAGUCCAUAUUUAUGGAUGAAUUAAUAGAACUGAUAAUGGACAUCAGGUAUCCAUCAUGUAUUGGCUCACUUUCUAGAUGUAAAACAAAAUUUCUAAGAUCUUGCUCAUAACCAACCGUGUGUUCUGCUUCAUUGAAAUUGGCCGAGGCCUCAGAUUGCCUUAAGAAAAAAAAUUUUAUCAUCAACAAGCAUCUAAUGAUUUUCAUCCUUACGGUAUUAAAACAGAGUAUGAUGGUAAAUGGGAUCAUAAUUUCCAUGGUACUGAUAACUGGAUUCGUGGCCAUUAAGUAGAGAAUUCCACCAAUUGAGAUGGGAACAAGCAAUUUAUUCACGAUCACAGUCACUAUCUGACUUCCAAUACAAAUGUUGAUGAGUAGAUUUCUGAUGUGAUAAAUAAUUUUUCUAUGUGCAUGGUAUCGAACAUGUAAUGGUAGGAGUCUCCUUUUCCACUCUGCCAAUCUUUUGAUCCCGUAAUUCUUUAUUUCAAAGGAAAUGCUAGAAAUGGUAUAUUUUCCAAUAUUCCGUGCAGUGUGAAAUAAAGCUACUAAAAGUCUUCCCAAAGACAUGAUAGUGCAAAGAAUCGAUCCUACAUAUUGAGUCCAAUAAACAAAAUAUACUGACCAUUUAUAAUCAGAAGCAGCAUUUGGCAUAUAGGGACUGUAAGACACACCUCCGUUAAAAGUAUAACUUAUGGUGCAGAUCAUGAAUAAAACAACGCUGGCCUCAGAUCGUGCCAACACAAACUGAGGGUUAGCUGUUUCUGUCAUCACCCAGUACUUCUUCACGCACAACUUUAACUUGUCAAAGUCCAUUAUUUGGUCUCCUUGUGGUUCCGCUGCCAAAAUUCUUGUUUGCAAUUCUUUGUACUUACUUUCCAAAUACCUUUUACUUGUAAAUACCGUUAAAGCAGAAGAACUCAAUACAAUGAACGCGUAAACAUUCAUGCAGACAAUCACCACUUGGAAAACAUCUUCAAUCACGCCUGUGAAUGCUUGGAUGAUAACAUUUACUGUAAGCGUCACUAUAAGGAUACCCAAUGCUGUCAAGUUCACUAUUAUAUCUCUAUCACUCAUGGAUCCUAGAGAAGGCAUGAAAUGAGUGGUUGAAACACACAAGAAAACAGUGCUACUAAUUUUAGCGCCUUGAUCAUACACACCUUCCAUCGGGGUAGUUAGAUCCAUUGACAACUUCACUGCGACGGCUAACACAGUCAAGGAAGCGGCGUUGAGAGAAGAAAAUCUGCAAGGGAACCAUAACUUUCUAUGGCGGACAGAGAUCACUGCAUCAAUGAAUAGUGAAACAUCCAUAUUAGAGACGCUACAGCAGCGUAUAGGCCUAUCCAUGGCAUUGGUGCUUUAGAGUCCAUCAUUUUGUUCAAUUAUUCAGCUCUCUUCCCACGGCUGCUUUACUUUUGAUUUAAGAUGAGGAUAUGCUCGAGUGGUGGAAAUUUCUUUGUUNGGAUUCAAGAGUAGUGAAAAUUUCCAGGGCAACUUCAACUUUUAUUUUCAACGCUUUGAUGCAUCCAUUAAAGAAAAGUAUAUCCAAUAAUAAAACCUUGCAAUGUGUCAUCUCAAGGAUUAUUUUGAAUCAUUCAAUUUAUUAAAGGGUAUAGAAAAUAAUAUAUGUUGCGAAUUUCGACUACAUCAUCAUUCAUAUCUUAUUAAAAUUAUUCUUAAUAUUGUUACAAUUUGGAAUCUCUAACUGAUUUGUGCCUACUUCAGAUUAAUAAAUCAAUGGCUGAGAUUUAGCCUUGAAUGUUUAAGUUGAGGAAAUAAAGUCAACCUUCAAAUUUCAUCAAACACAGUUUCUACACGAACAAUGAAUUUGAUGCUUUUCAUACUAAUUCUGUUCAUUAAACUAAACUGGCCAGAAGCUGUCAAAACCAAUAUAAUAAUAUAGAGACAGAUUAGAGCCUUUUAACUCUGAACAUUUGUAAGCAUAUUGCACACUUUUUAAAACCGGUAUUUAUAAAACCCAAGAUUUGGAAGCAAUAAGCAUAUUAUAAAGUUUUCAAAAUCCAACAUUAAUUGCUAAAAUUCUUGAUUUGGAUCUUCAAAUGUAUCUCCAUUUACAACGAAAUGUUGUGAAUAACAGAUUUAGUUCUUCAUUUUAUUUAUCAUGUUGUCGAAGUACUUUUAUUUCGAUCCCCCAGUUGAAUCCAUUAUAUUCCAGUUUUUCUUCUUAGGAAUACCUCUUAGCAAGUUAGUAAAUAGUUUGUUGUAGUUUGACCCAAAUUCUAGUGAGUGUUGGAGUUGUAUUUAAAGUGGUCUUGGAUAAAUAAAAAUUAUGGACUGGGAAAAUCGUUGUUGCAUUUUCGCUAGCUGCAUGCUCGAGCGAAAUUGUCAAAUUUGGAACAAAGAAUUUUCGACUACUUCUUGCCCCCUAUCGCUCGACACUGCUCGAGCGAAGAUGCUUCCUGACUUUUCGCUUUGGAAUGCGUUUUGGACUUCAGAUCAUCUACAACUUGAUUUCUAGGGUUUUUUUAUAUAUAUAAUAGUGUGUGUUGUUCAUACAACAGAAUAUAAAACAUUUCGAGAGAUUUAGAUCUUAGUUGAGAGUAUUGAGAUCUUGUAAACAUAAUUGUUAUUGAUUAUAAUGGAUCUCUUCUCCUCUGUCCGUGGUUUUUUCCAGUCUUAGAUUUCCAUCUAAAUCUUCGUAUUCUUUAUUUUGUUCUUGUUUACUUCAUUAUUAUCAUAACCUUUCGGUCAAUUAACAACAUAGUUGCAAUCUAAAUUAGAUUUGUAAAGCUUUAUUCUCGUUGUUUUUGAUUGCACAUAGUAAAAAGUCAGCUCCUUUUCUAUUCCAGUUUAACCUUUGCGACUGCACUUUGGAUUUUAAGAUGGGGAUGCUCGAGGUCAUAGGAAAUUUCUUUGUUAUUUCAUUGCAACUUCAGCUUGUAUUUUCUACCCCUUGAUGUAUCCAUUGAAGAAAAAUAUAUCCCAUAACGCGUUGAUGUAUCCAUAAAGAAAAACAUAUCCAAUAAAUUAUUGGGUGAGGUUUGGAGUGGGAAUUCUUUUGGAGUAAUAAGAGGAAAUACCCCAGGCCCUCAGCCUUGAAUUUUUAGUUAUAUCCUGCUUAAUAAGAAUAAGUUAUCAUUCACAUGUUAAUGCUCAUAAUAUUAUAUUAAUUGUUGAUUGAUUUAAAUUUUAUAAACUAUUUAAGCUAAGCCUAAAAGGGACAAAGUUAGUAUAUGAAAUGAAUUAUGUUUUGAAAAACAUAACUUGUCACACAAAUACCCUCUUAGACUGUGCCUUUGAUACAUAGAGGAUGUUUGGUGGGGAUGAAAAUUAGAUUUUUAGUAGAUUGUGAUAGAAGUUUUUAAAAUAUGUGGUUUAAAAGUUGCGAUACCCAUAAAAGAUGUAUUUAAUAUUUAUUGUUUGACUUUAACUUAGAUUCGAAACCAAACAUGGGCAUAAUACCUCUAAUAAAGUAAACUCUUUUAUUUAUUGAACAUAGAAAUUCUAGGAUAUGAAAAACCAUUAUCUACAUUGUUUAAAUUGAAAUUUCAACGAGAGUUACACAUUUUCAUCUAAAAUAACAUUUCAUUAAUGACCGUUAAAAAUUGAAUCCCAAAUAAACCACUUCAAUUGAGAGAUACAUUUUCAACUGAUUUUCAAUGAUUUGCUUGGACUAAUUAAAACCUAAAUUUAUUAAGCAUAUUAUAAACUUUUCAAUAUCCGAAGGAAUUUGGGUUUGACGUUGUGGUCUAAAUAUGAAAAUUUAAUUAAUUUACGAAAAACAUAACGCCGCUAAAAUCUCAUCCCAAGUUAUGACAUUGAUUAAGGUAUCAUAUGAAAUUAUACUCAUUCAUCUAUUGAAAUUUUCGAGUUUUCGUAUCUGAAGAUCAUUGUCUAACAUAUUUACAUAGUUAAUAUCUUAAUGAUAGUACUAAUCUUCGUUAAAAUAACAUUUCAUGAUUGUUCAAAAAAUGAUGUGACAGUAAAUUAUCGAUGGCAACAUCAAAAUAUAUUUUAAGUUGUUGAACAAUGUAACAUUGACCCUACUGACAUGUAGACAUAAUAUGAAGUCCAGAAUAGUUCUCCAUGCAUUCUAUAAAUCUAGACUUGCUUCCAUUUUCAUACAAAUUAAGAAAAUAUAAUUGAAAUUAUAAAUUUUAUUAACAUUUUCCCUCUCUUUUUAUACUUCUCGUUCUCAGGUUGGUUGAAUUAAAAUUUAAAUUAUAAUAUUUCCUAAUUAUAAUUGAAUAAAAAAGAAAUUAAAAAAUAGAAUUAUAUUUUUUUUUGUCAAUUUUUAUAAUAAUAAAAUCAAAAUAAAGGACUUUUGACAAUAAGAAAAGUGGGGAAAAAAGCCCUUUCACAUGGGCUCAACUAAAUUUUCAAUGAAUUCAAAAAGAGGAAAAUACACACACGUGAUUUUUAAAUUUCCAAUUCAAAAAUCAGAUUUUAAAGUUUUUUGCUCAAAAAUCAAAAGAUAAUUUAACUUUUGAAUGUUGAUAAUAAUAUUAUAAAAUAAAAUUAAUAUACAUCCCCAUAACCCAACCCCCACCCUACCCGAUUUCACUCCCAACUUGUAAAUCAUUUCUCAUUUGUGAUUCUUUUGAAACGAAGGAAGAUCAAGAGAAUGUGGCACUGCUGUGCGCCCAUCGAACCGAACAACACUAAACCCAACCCAUGAUUGAAACCAACAACCCGAACCAACUCUUUAUUUAUCUCAUAGUGCUUUUAAUCUCAUCAAUUAGCCGAGGGAUAAAAUCUAGUUGAGAAUUGGGAAGCUUAGAAGAUUCAUGUGUAAAUCGGUCAUGAAAGUGAUUAAUCACUAAAAUUGUUGAUUUGGAUCUUCAAAUAAUGUAUCUUUAUUUUCCAAAGAAAUGUUGUGAAUAAUAUACUUAGUUCCGCAUUUUUUUUUUUUAUCAAAUUGUCGAAGUACUUAGUUUUUCGAUCCCCUAAUUGAAUCCAUUUUAUUCCAACUUUUUGUCUCAGGAAUACCUCUUAGCACGCUAGUAAAUAGUUGUAGUCUAAAUUAGAUUUGUAAAGCUUUAUUUUGAUUGCACAUAGUAAAAAGUUAGCUCCUUUUCUUUCAACCUUUGUGAAGAAUUACAAAACACUUGUUUAUUCCACCACUUAAGGCCAAUUUUUAGUCUAGAAAAAUUAUUCUAGAAAACCAAGAGCUUUUGUCUCUGCUAUUGAUUGUUUCUAGUUCCUUACAAAAAUGUACUAAAAUUGGUCACCUCGAAUCCACAUCUUCCAGACCUGGAAAGUAGAUGGGCAGUUGGCGAUUCCAUUUAUCAGUAGUCAACAGUAGGAGGCAAUGGUCUAAAGUGUUCCGAUUCAAGUGUUAAACAAGAAUGAUCGAGCAAAGAUCCAAUGCAAAGGAAUUACUACAUACCACAUAUGCCAGUUUGUACAAGUAUAUUGUGAAUCUUCAUAAUCUGCAUUUUCUAGGUUACAAUACCUUAAAAACUUCUAAAAAAUCAUCAAUGACAACUACAUUUGACAAUUUGACACCGAAUCUUUCUUGGCUGACAAAAGAGCACAUUAAAAUCACCCCUGAAAAAACCAAGGUGGAUCAUAUUACUUGAAAGAACUUUUAGACUAACCCAAAGUUCCACCCUUUCAUGCGUGGUUGAUUUUGCAUGUACUACAAUAGAAUGGAAAGAGUCAGGCUAAUAGAGUUUGUACCUCAAAGAUAACUAAGUCCUUGUUUGAAUCCUAUUUUUUGAGUAUAGAUUUGUAGGCAUGAUUUUUUUGGAGAAUGUCUGAUUAAAAUAUAAGAAAAAUUUUUGAUUGCUUGCAAAAUUAUUUUAUAGAGAGAAUGUGAGUAAACCACAUACAGAAAAUAUUAAUAACUAGUCAUAAAUAACCUUAUCCCAUGCAGAACAAGUUACAUUGCUUUUCCUCUAUCACAUAAGCCACUAUACUUUGAACUUCAAUUUCUUAUAUAACAAAGCAUUAUUUUAUCAAGUAAAUAUAUGAUUUUGAUAUUCUCAUGUCAGAGAACAUCGGUCUAUUUUGAUAUUCCAAAACAAAGAACCAAGGCCCCACUCAAAACAAUGCUACGCAGCACUAUUUUCAAAACAAAGAAUCAAGUCCUAACUACAUUAAUCAUGCAUAUAAAACCUUAAAAUAAUUUGAAUUACACGUCAACUGAACGUUACAAAUUUUGUUAAACUAGAGUAGGUUCCCAGGAAAAGUGUUAGACUUGGUCUAGAUUUAGCAUGUGUAUUCACCAAACAUCCAAUACCAAAUCUUUAAAAUCUUUCAAAGCCCCCUAAGACCUCUGCACAAUCUUUUGCAAUACCCUAAACCAAUGGUUCAUCUUCCCAAAUUGAUUUACCUAAAGUUCUGAUACCACUAAUAUAAAAAUUUCAUGUGAAUUAAAGAUAAACUACAUAACGAUUCUACAUCCCAUUAUAGCACUUAAAAGUAGUAAUCAGUACCAAGAUGCACACAAUUUUAGGGCUCAGAUUUUGUACAUGUGUCAAACAUAGUCAACCCUAGUGUUGGAUCCAACCCAAAUAUUUAGCACAUAAAGUUUUGUAACUUACAAAAACAGAGAAACACGUUUUCAUCUCAAACGCUAGGACAACAGAUUAGCCUUAAAAUCAUUGACCAUGCUUCAAAUCUAAUGAUCUAGAUUGCUCUAAACACACUGAAGUUGUUACUGAGUGGCAAUCCAAGUAAAACGUGUUCUUAAAGUAUCACUUUAAAUGGGACCAAUUUUGGACUGAUCUUGUGAGGGUUGGACUUGGACCACUCGGUUCAUCUCCAAUUUAAGCCUAAGCCUGAAGAUCAAUUGUGGAUCAUUACAGCCCAAGGACCUGUUUGUCAUUACAUCUGAAAUUAUCUAUUUUAUUCAUCCACAAAUUAUAACAACCUAACAAUAUUACACAGCACUUUUAAUGUUCACAAUAUGCAUAAUAAUGUCUAAUAAUAUGACAACAUUAGGUGCUACUAGAUUUCCAUGAUUACGCAAUGCUACUGAAUGACUCACAAAUCACAAGAGUUGCAUGGCAAGCUCCAAUAAACACACAAAGAAGAUGCUUAUAAAAGAACGACUUCCUAAAAGUGGAAAUGCCAGGGUUUACGUUUGGUGGUUCUCUUUUUCUUCUCCAGACUCUUCCACUUCCCCGCUUAUGUGAGACCCUGCAUUGCCUUCAUCGGUUUCCAAGGCUUCUGAAAACGCCAAAAGUAAGUAUACUUCAUUUUUUUAAUGCUAUUUAUGUUUAAAAGAGUUAUCCUCCAAAGUUAAAUUUAAAAUAUACGUUAGGCAUUACUAACAAAAGAACUUGUUUAUUAAUUUUUACUGGGUGAAAUGUAAAUUCAAUAAAAACUAAUGUAAUUGUAAUGGUAACAUGAAUAAUAAAAAAUUUCGACACUAAAUCUGAAUGUAACUAGAGAACAAGGGUAUAUUUAUACCUGGUGUAGCACUUGCACGAAGUUCUUGUAUGUCCAAAUGUACCUCACCACUUAAAGCAGUAAUAAUAUUCUCACUGCUAGGAGUUGAGUCCAAAGUACCAUGAUUAGGGUGUUUGAGUAAAGUACGCCAUUCAUCAAUAUAUAUUGAUUGGUUAAGCGAUAGAUUAGGAAUUUCACGCUUAUGAAGAGCUUUCAUAAUUUCUUGAGUCUCUCUGAGAAGAUGAGUUGCUUCCUUUAUAAUUUUUUCCCGUUCUUCUAUGGCGCUGUUGUUGCAUUUCUUGAGUAUAGCUUGAGGUAAAUUGGUCAGGCAUGCAGCAAAUAUAUCUGCAACAAUAACUGAAAAUCUCUCAAAUACUUGAGUAUCUGAUGCUGAAUGAUAGCUUUCCUCAUGGACCAACAACAAACUGUUGCUUAUUUUGUACAUUGAAUUGGCAAUUAUGAUA